rnacentral:lncRNA from 1 species
CAUCCCAGAAUUCAGGAAUUGAAGAGGGGUCCUGGAACCCAUCCUCCCAGCCAAGGGAUGACUAUAUAUGCUUUGUAGAAAUAGGACGGUAUUCCAAAAGGGCCCUGAUUCAUGCACAUGUACACAUCAUCAUUGCCAAAGGAAACUGCCAAGUAGCUUGCUGGGGUCUUGAACAGGAACAUUUUUUUUCACAGCAGCAGAGGGAGCACAAGAGUUCUCAAUGAAACCAGGCCCUUUUCAAAUCGCUACAGAUUUUAAAUUGUUGUGUAUGUUUUCAUGGAAGGUAGCAUGUUAUAUAGUUCAAAACAAAGCAAAAUAAAACAAAACAAACAAGCAAAUUCAAAUAGCUUACCAGUUUAUAACAACUAAAUAAUCGAACAGAUUGUAAGUUAAAUAAAAUAAAGAUAUUAAGAGUUUUAGGCUUGAAUUCUUAAAAGGACUUCAAAAGUCAUGUUUAGAAAAGAUACCUUGGCUUUUCUCUAGUCAAAAAUUAAAAAUAAGGCAACUCUAAGAAGAGUGUAUCUGGAAAUGGAGUCAGUCCCCCCAACACUGCAUUAGAUAAAUUAAACAGAAGCCAAACAUGGGGGUGAAAGUUUGUGCACUUUUUACAAACUUUAGGGCAUUUGUUCUUAAUGCUUACAGUAGUGAGAAUUUAUGUUUCAAUUGUAUUUAUGUAGCAUUUUACACUUUUUACAGCUCUUCCUUAUUGCAUCUUUAAAACUUCAUGGAGGUGGAGAAGACACAUAUUACAAUCCAGGCCUCAAAAAAAGUAUGGGUUCAGAUUCUACUUUCCUAACAUGGAGUCAUUGAGUUGUUCCAAUAAUCCCAAGGUGUUUGCAAGUGGAGGGAAUCAUAAAGGGUAAAGAUUCCCCAACAUGUUUCAUCUUUUUACCAUUGACAAAGCAUAUUAGGGGAUCUUUAGCCUCUAACAUGCUUUAAAAGUUCCUAUAUAGUAGAUAUUUAAUAACUAUUUCAAUGAGAUUAAGAAUAUAAAUGAUGUCUUAAAUUGCUUUUUUAUGUAUUUAUCAUUCCUUUAUCAUCAGUUACUUAUUGCAUAUCAACAGUAAGUAGGCCUGAGAUCACAACAUUAAAUAAGAUAUCUUAACUUGCAAGGAGUACAAAGAAGAAAAAAAAAUCUAAUCUUUUAAAAAAACGUUAAUUUUUACCAUGGUGAAACACAAAAAUCAAAGUUGAUUGAUGUAUUGCUUUUCAGGAUCGGAUCAAACAGAGUUCCAAAUACGAGAAUUAAAUACUAGCAUCAUCAAAAAUUUGGGAGGCAGCAGGCAAUGGUCUAACUCUUGAGCAAGACUUGACUUACAAGCUAAUGCUAAUAUUUCAAAUUUGUAAGACAAACAAAAUGUGAAGAUAAAAAUGUGCAUUUUUAUCUGAAUGCCCCCUCUAUCAAAAAACAAAUCACAUAAAUUACAGUGGCAAACAUUUAUUUAUUUUUAUCAUUUAAAAAUUGUUAAAACGAAUUUCCUCCCACACUUUGGGAUCCAUUUGCCAAGUUUCUGCCUGGAGCAAUUUGUUAUGGCAGUGUAAUGAAUCCCAGAAAGUUUGAAUUUUUAGUGGAAAGACUGGCAGAACUUUCACUCUUCUAUUAGAAGGAGGGUGUAAUCUAAUGUGUGUCAUUUAAAAACCUGAGCAAACCAUAGUGUGCUUGCAAAACAAAUACUCUUUCCUUAGACUGCACUUCCAAUAAACCUAGGGAGACCAGAAAAGUAAAACAAACUAAAAAGAAAAGUGAAAAACCAUUCACACAAUAGACUCUGAGCUCAGCUGGCCACACCCAGGCUCAAGUCCCUGGGCUCCACACACAUCCAGGCCCAAUACUGUCUCAUGCAUGUUUCUGAAUCAUCUUUCUUGACCCUCGACCAAACUGUAGAAGAAGGGCUUCCUGGUCAUAAAAAUGACAUCACCAAUAGUCAAGAGUGGAAAGAAAGUCUUUGCAUUCCAGCAUCUGCCAACAGCUUAUUUUGAUUUAACAGUACACACAUUCAGCUGUUUCAGACAACACCCUGUCAGCAAUGUAAAACAGAAACAGGUAGUUCAAUCUACAUCUGCACUGUCCAAUGGUCCAGUGUGGCCCUUGAACACCUGAAAUAUGGUUAGUCCAAAUUGAGAUGCACUGUAAAUAUGAAAUAUGCCUCAAAUUUUAAAGACUUGGAGAGACACAGAGACACAUACGUGUAUAUAUACACAUAAUAUCUCAAUUUUUAUAUUGAUUGUUGAAAUGAAACUAUUCAGCAUAUGUUAGAAUUAAUAAAACAUAUUGUUAAAAUUCAUCUUACCUGUUUCUUUGAACCUUUAUGAAUGUGGCUCCUAUAAAAUUUAACACCAUGCAUACGGAAUAAUUGUGUAUUUUUUUUUUCUUUUCAGGUGCUGGGGAUCAAACCCAGGGCCUCAUGGAUUCUAGGCAAAUACUCUACCACUGAGCUAUACCAUGAGUCCCUGUAUAUAUUUCUUUUCUUACGUUUUUAUUGGUGCAUUAUAAUUAUGCAUAAUCAUGAGAUUCAUUGUGCCAUAUUCAUACAUGUACAUAAUUUGAUCAAUCUCGUCCCAUUCUUCUGCUCUACUGAUUUCCCUUCUGCUAUUAUUUUUUUAAUCAGUGCCUUAUAAUUAUAUAUAAAAGUGGAAUUCAUUGUGGUAUGUUCAUGUAUAAUUCUAACGGACAGCACUGGUAUAGAUAAUGGGUCUGAGGAGACACAGGAAUUAGCUCUAAAUAUCCAUAGUUGAAGACUUUAGAAUCCUAGCAUGGCUCUCUGCAGUAGUGCAUAGAUAACUUAGUUAUUUUUUCUACUUUUCUGUGCACCAAUAACCUGUGUAAUGUGGUGCUUAUCUCCCCUUAUAACAAUCACUGAAGGUUCACUGUGGGUAAAUGCACAAUCUAUCCAUUGGGGGAUGGGAGAUGGGCUCAUAAAAAU